rnacentral:rRNA from 1 species
UACGAAGGGGGCUAGCGUUGUUCGGAAUUACUGGGCGUAAAGCGCGCGCAGGCGGUCCUUCAAGUCAGAGGUGAAAGCCCAGAGCUCAACUCUGGAACGGCCUUUGAGACUAGAGGACUUGGGUACGGGAGAGGUGAGUGGAAUUCCGAGUGUAGCAGUGAAAUGCGUAGAUAUCGUGAGGAACACCAGAGGCGAAGGCGGUUACCUGGACAGUUACUGACGCUCAGGCACGAAAGCAUGGGGAGCAAAAGGG